GUCUACGGCCAUGCCACCCUGAACAAGCCUGAUCCUGUCUGAUCUCGGAAGCUAAGUAGGGUCGGGCCUGGUUAGUGCUUGGAUGGGAGACCACCUAGGAAGACCAGGUGCUGUAGGUG
rnacentral:rRNA from 1 species